rnacentral:rRNA from 1 species
AUAAUGGGUCAGCGACUUAUAUUCUGUAGCAAGGUUAACCGAAUAGGGGAGCCGAAGGGAAACCGAGUCUUAACUGGGCGUUAAGUUGCAGGGUAUAGACCCGAAACCCGGUGAUCUAGCCAUGGGCAGGUUGAAGGUUGGGUAACACUAACUGGAGGACCGAACCGACUAAUGUUGAAAAAUUAGCGGAUGACUUGUGGCUGGGGGUGAAAGGCCAAUCAAACCGGGAGAUAGCUGGUUCUCCCCGAAAGCUAUUUAGGUAGCGCCUCGUGAAUUCAUCUCCGGGGGUAGAGCACUGUUUCGGCAAGGGGGUCAUCCCGACUUACCAACCCGAUGCAAACUGCGAAUACCGGAGAAUGUUAUCACGGGAGACACACGGCGGGUGCUAACGUCCGUCGUGAAGAGGGAAACAACCCAGACCGCCAGCUAAGGUCCCAAAGUCAUGGUUAAGUGGGAAACGAUGUGGGAAGGCCCAGACAGCCAGGAUGUUGGCUUAGAAGCAGCCAUCAUUUAAAGAAAGCGUAAUAGCUCACUGGUCGAGUCGGCCUGCGCGGAAGAUGUAACGGGGCUAAACCAUGCACCGAAGCUGCGGCAGCGACGCUGAUGCGUUGUUGGGUAGGGGAGCGUUCUGUAAGCCUGCGAAGGUGUGCUGUGAGGCAUGCUGGAGGUAUCAGAAGUGCGAAUGCUGACAUAAGUAACGAUAAAGCGGGUGAAAAGCCCGCUCGCCGGAAGACCAAGGGUUCCUGUCCAACGUUAAUCGGGGCAGGGUGAGUCGACCCCUAAGGCGAGGCCGAAAGGCGUAGUCGAUGGGAAACAGGUUAAUAUUCCUGUACUUGGUGUUACUGCGAAGGGGGGACGGAGAAGGCUAUGUUGGCCGGGCGACGGUUGUCCCGGUUUAAGCGUGUAGGCUGGUUUUCCAGGCAAAUCCGGAAAAUCAAGGCUGAGGCGUGAUGACGAGGCACUACGGUGCUGAAGCAACAAAUGCCCUGCUUCCAGGAAAAGCCUCUAAGCAUCAGGUAACAUCAAAUCGUACCCCAAACCGACACAGGUGGUCAGGUAGAGAAUACCAAGGCGCUUGAGAGAACUCGGGUGAAGGAACUAGGCAAAAUGGUGCCGUAACUUCGGGAGAAGGCACGCUGAUAUGUAGGUGAAGUCCCUCGCGG